GAUAGAGAGACCAAAGAAAGCGUCAGAAGAACUUCCAGUAAACUACUCUUUUUUGUUGGUUCAUGCGGUCUGUAAACUCGUCGAGUUCGCCAUCUACUGUAGAAAAUGACAUGGGUGGCGGAAACACAAGUAGAAUAAUGGUAAGCCGGCAAGCAAGAAAGCAACUAAGCAUGUGGUCGAGACCAUUCUCCGUUUCUCAAAGGAAGGUACUGAUGGAGAUCAUGGUAGUGGAGAACACAAUUAUGAUUGACUGAGACAAACCUGCGAAUACACCAACCAUAUGGGCCAUCAUGUUGAUGAUAAACUAAGGCAUAAACUAAUGAAAAUGACUUGGAUGCAGACACGGCUGCCGAGAGAGACGUGCGGAGCAUUUACAUUAGCUUCUUAUUAUCCAUCCUCUCGACCUGUAAUGCUCUAUUUCUGGCACUUUAUAUAUGGCUCCACUAAUGCAAGGAAAUGGAGGAUCUACUGAUCCGAAAGCUUCUUAGAUUUACUUUUGACUUGUGCACUGUCAUGUUUGAUAGAUUUUGUAGGAGAAUGGCACAGAAAUCUGUAAGUUCAUGGCUGAAGUAUGGAGGAUUGAAGCCAGCCUGAUGAGCCAAGGAUUGGUCAAACAUGCUAUCAGAGUUUGUCAAUGCUUAAUUACUUGGACUAGGAUGCAUCUACAGCCACUAACAAACAGAGUUUUGUCUUAUCAGCUUGGAUGCAGCAAACCCUUUGACUGAAACUUACAGGCAUGCAACUAAAAACAACAUGAUUCUGAUCUAAUCCUUUGUUUACGGAUCUGUACAACCACAUGGAAUGCUCCUCCGGAGACCCGACACAAAUCACAUGGAAGCCAUGAGUUUACUUUCCUGUGAGUUGGCCAAAUUUGACUUUUACAUGAAAGUCUAAACCUUUAGCGUAUCAACUAGGCAUGAGUUCAUAGACAUGAAAGUCUAAAGUCUAAACCUUUAGCGUAUCGACUGGCCAUGAGUUCAUAGACGGAUAUGGAAGUAUACUUGUGCUGAUGGAACUCUGAAAACCCAACGAAUUAACAUCGGUAGUUCAAUCCAGCGAGCCGUGGAGAGUAAAGGAGG
rnacentral:lncRNA from 1 species